GAAAAUUUCUGUGUGAGAAUUGCAUUGCCGACGAAGAGGGCAGGCGGUUUUUGAUGAAGCAUUUCUCAUCGUUACACCAGAUGUGGUUCAAUAUAUUGUUGAUCGCAAGAAUAAUAGCCUCAUGUGUCAUCCUUGGGGAGGCCAAAGUCUUGGGUAUUGGUUAAACGAUUUUAAGCAGGUGAUUCCCUUUAGUGAUAACAAAAGGUUAUUAUCACUUGAUUCUCAUGUUAUGAAAAAAGUUAUGCAAGAAAAAAAGUAUGUGUAGAAGUUAUGGGUCUCCACCAUUCUUAUCCAAAUGAUAUGAAAUUGUUUUGGAAUUUAUAUUUGAAUGAAACUAGUGAUGGGCAAAUUAGCGUCCCUCCAGUUAUUUACAACUGUAAGUAUCGGUUGGAAAUGGAUGUAAAUACUCUUCCACGUUUAUAUACCCGUCCCAAACCAUGCAAAAAUAAUCCAAUUUGGAAAACGGAAAGUUUUUUUAAGGGAUCUGAACAUAAGUGGAAAAAUAAGCGAAACAUGGCACUGUAAUUCUUUACACUUUUUUAAUCAUUUUUAGUUUUUAUCUUUCGUUAGUGACGACAAAACGUAUCGUGGAAUACUAUCUUUAAGAGAACUAAUUAGUUUUCUGACGGACGUAACCUUAGUUCUUUAAUAUAUAAUGUGUAAUCAUACCUGGUAUAUUGUUGUAGACAAUAAAUGCCACAAUUUUA